GCAAAAAACCAAAAACAACCUUGCCCAUAGCUUGUUUGUUUAACUGCUGUGCUUCUUUCUGGCCACCAGAGGGAGAUAUUUGGUCAAACAGACUGUGCCCCUGGAAGCUUGCAGCUCCACAGCUUGACAUUAAAUUUUGCUAUCUGCUGUGACCAUCAUUGGUGAAUUGAAUCUUCAUUCACACACAAAAGCUCUCAAACUUCAGGCGAAUUAGAAGCUUCCUCUGUGUGACAUGGUGAAGGAAAAGCGUCAGAAUAAAAUGGAGUAGAUUCUAUUUCCAUGACAGAAAGACCUCAAGCAUGCCAGAAACACAGAGUACAACAGAAUAUUAUGAAUUCCUUUCAACUCUGCUAAAAGAAAAAGGCUGCUUGAUAAGGCCAGCAACUGAGAUCCUGCCUCUGACCACUCGACAUAUAAUGAUAGCGUCUUUGGUUGUGGAAUGAAAUAGAACAAACCGAACUUUGUGAGGAUAGAAGUGAUCUUGAUCUUCUGUUGGUAUGUGAUUGCUAAGGUCAACUAUCUUUCACCAAAGCAGAAGAAGACCAAUACACUUGGGUGGAAAAACAAGAAUGUAGAAAGAAUGUGGAGUAAUGACUACAGAGGAGCUCUGGACUGUUAAUAUACAGAACUGUUAGACUGAAGAGGAGUUAAGUGUCUUGUUUAAACUAUGGUUAUUCUUAGAUCCUAGUUCAGUGGCUCAUUACUACAAUGGGUGAUUCAAAAACACUUUAGGUUUCUAUAGUGUUAGUCAAGUGAUAUAAACAAGACAAGAAACAUACUUUUAAAGAUAUUUAAUGAUCUGUUUUUCAAAUCAGUACAAAAAUUUAAAUACAAAAUUGAUUUGCCAUUAAGUCUCAGAUCUGUUCAUGGAAACUCAAACAAGUUACCAGUCUUCUCAUCAUUCUUUGUUUCUGUAAAAUAUCUGAGGACAAUUAUCCUCUACAGACAUUCUUUACCCCUGUGGGAUGCCACACUACUUUAAAACUCUGUGUUUAAAUAAGAACAAUGCCAGUUUGGUCCAUUUCACAUGGAAAAGCUCUAGUUAAUUUUGAAUUAAAUAGGGAUCAUUAGUGUCCCUAGACUGUAGAACAUAGAGUUGUUUCACCUGCUUUCACACUAAUGUGUUAACAUGAUGUACAGCACUCCAAAGGGAAACACGGGUACAUAGAUAAUUACUUAAAACUCUUCUUUAAAUUAAAUGGAGUAUCAUUUAGCUCUGAUAUUAGCACCAUGGUAGAAUAUACAGUAUCUGGCAUAGAUUUUGCUCCUCCUCCAUUUAAAAGUUUAGAAGCAUAUGCCUGAUAUAUAUGAUAACACACACAUGCACACACACACUCACACACACAUGCACACACACAUAUAGGCAAUUGAGUAACAACCAAUAAAUAAGUUGGAAAAUAUCUCAAAAAGUGAAAUUUGGUUUAACUUAAGAGACAAUUUCUACCUUUCUUUGUGGAGACUAAAAUACCAUACAUGUACAGAUAAGAGCAACUUUAUGAUGCAUCUGGCCCAACUGUCCUUCAAAUCAUCUCAAUGGAGCAUUUAACAGAGAUUCCCAGGGACCCCUGUAACUUCCAGUCAUUAACUACAAGCCAGUGUCCUCAGGAGCAACCCAAAGGACAGCUAUCCACAGAAAUGCUGUUUGCUUUGCAAGUGAAGGCUAGGUAGGACUCCUUUCAGAUGUGAAAGUGCUUUGUACAAUGAACAGUGAAUGAGAAACCUUGUGCUAAUGAACUCAUUUGUCUUAAAA